rnacentral:rRNA from 1 species
AUGAGUGUGUUUCGGCUACCGGUCUCUGUUUGUGAUGAUCUAACAUGUAUGAUGAGACAGUACUGGUGGAGAGUUGAUCAUGGCAAGAGGAAAAUGGCCUGGCUUAGUUGGGAGAAAAUGAUUUUACCCAAGGAUAUGGGAGGAAUGGGAUUCAGAGAUAUGAGGGCUUUUAACCAGGUGUUACUUGCAAAGGAAGCGUGGAGAUUGCCUGAUAGUCCGGACAGUUUAUGUGCUUGUUUACUCCGGGCUAAAUAUUAUCCCAAUAGGAAUCUGCUUGAUACAGUCUUCCCUUUUAGUUCGUCUGCUGUGUGGAAGGGAAUCAUGCAUGGACUUGAGCUGUUG